UGAGGAAUAUUGGGCAAUGCCCGCAAGGGUGACCCAGCAACGCCGCGUGGAGGAUGAAUGUCGUAAGAUUGUAAACUCCUGUUAGAGGGGAAGAAUAGUACCGGUUGGACCGGUAUAUGACUGUACCCUCAGAGAAAGCCCCGGCUAACUACGUGCCAGCAGCCGCGGUAAUACGUAGGACACAAGCGUUGUCCGGAUUUACUGGGUGUAAAGGGUGCGCAGGCGGAUGGGUAAGUCAGGGGUGAAAGUCUGCAGCUUAACUGUAGAAUUGCCUUUGNUACGGCGCAUCUUGAGUGUGGGAGAGGUUGAUGGAAUUCCAGGUGUAGCAGUGAAAUGCGUAGAUAUCUGGAAGAACACCAGUGGCGAAGGCGGUCAACUGGCCCAUAACUGACGCUCAUGCACGAAAGCGUGGGGAGCAAACA
rnacentral:rRNA from 1 species